CAGGCAUACGCGAUCGAAAACAUUACCUCGCCGUUGGCAGAGCUGUUAAUGGUGCUCAUUUCCCCCCAAAUAAGUGCCAAAUUGGUUGCUUUCCUCUCAGCUGGUCCCACUCCUUCAACCCAUCACCCCCUCACCAGUCAGAACAUCUUUGAAAUACUUGAUCUCCUGUUUGAAAACCGAGCUCCUCGUGUUGCUCCAUCAGCAGGCUUUCUGUGAACUUAGACUUCAGUAGCUCAAUAAAACACAGCCUUUAUUGGCUUUUACCAACUCUAUGCCUCCACAGAGAGCUGGUUAGGCUCCAUUUAGAGCUUUUUAACUACAUUAUAGUCAUGACUGUGGCUCAACCCACUAAUUGGGUUUCACAUCGUGAAUGACCUGCAGUCACUUUCAGGCCUUUAUGUAGUGACAAACAAAGGGGAUUUUGAUUCUGUGAAUUGUUUAUCACCCACCACUGAAUGCUUUCUGAGCAAAAUGUCUCAUGAAACACCAAAUAGAUUUUAACGAAACUUUUAAAACUCAUUCAACGGAUCUACAACUGAAUACAUUUUGCAUUUAGAGCAAUUCAAUAUGACAACUCUUUAGAAAGCACAAAAGGUAAAUUUUACAGAUGUUGAGUUAAAAUGUGGCAUACUGUAUAGCUGAGAGUCAUUCUCAACACAUUCCACAACAUCUUUGCCUAAAAUGCUGGCACUAACUGGAGGAGUCAGCCCUGUUUGUUUGUUUGUUAGCGAGUUAUGAAUCACUAUGUAUUUUUCUAAACUUUCAGAGAAUAUGUAUUGGCUGUGCAUCUACAACUGAUUAACUUUGAAAGUCAAUAAUUUUUAAUUAUUCAAGAUGACAACCACAAAACAACUGUACCUCUGAGUGUAAAAAUAGCUCAGUCAUUCACACAUUCCUAGUCAGGGCCGGCCCAUGUGUAGGCAGUAUAGGCAAAUGCUUAGAGUGCCGUCUAAUGCAGUCUGUGAUGCUGUCAUGGGGAGGACAUCGACAGCAUCACAGACUGCAUUACGGACUACAUCAAUUACUUCUGUCUUUUUUACUCAGAACUGACAGUUUUACAGACAUCUGAGAAACUUAAAACAGCUAGACUAGUGCAUUCUAAAUUUAAAGAUUAA